rnacentral:rRNA from 1 species
GUCCACGCCGUAAACGAUGAGAGCUAGUUGUCUGGCAGCAUGCUGUUAGGUGACGCAGCUAACGCAUUAAGCUCUCCGCCUGGGGAGUACGGCCGCAAGGUUAAAACUCAAAGAAAUUGACGGGGGCCCGCACAAGCGGUGGAGCAUGUGGUUUAAUUCGAAGCAACGCGCAGAACCUUACCUACCCUUGACAUCCCGCGCUCACCUCAGAGAUGAGGUUUUCCCUUCGGGGACGCGGUGACA